AGAAACAAUCCUGCGGGAACCUUCCGAAAAAAAAAAAAAUGGUGUCUUUCUUUGCCCUCGUUGGCGGCCACACGGCCGAGAUCAUAACUCGAAGAAUGCUGGGCCAAGCUAUGACUAACAGCCUGGCCUGCCACUUCAAUUGGGCUGGCAAAGGCCAGAAGAGAGCAUUUAAAAACACUGUGCUGCAUGAUGUCAUGUUUGCGGCACUCCAGAAACAGCUUUCCGGAAGCACAGCAGUGUUUUUUGGGGAAACGGUGAAGAAGUGGCUAAAAUAUGCC